UACGAAGGGGGCUAGCGUUGUUCGGAAUUACUGGGCGUAAAGCGCGCGCAGGCGGCUAUCCAAGUCAGUGGUGAAAGCCCGGAGCUCAACUCCGGAACUGCCAUUGAAACUGUUUAGCUUGAGGACGAGAGAGGUGAGUGGAAUUCCCAGUGUAGAGGUGAAAUUCGUAGAUAUUGGGAAGAACACCGGUGGCGAAGGCGGCAUCCUGGACCGGCAUUGACGCUGAGGCGCGAAAGCCAGGGGAGCAAACGGG
rnacentral:rRNA from 1 species